rnacentral:rRNA from 1 species
UACAGAGGGUGCAAGCGUUGUUCGGAAUUAUUGGGCGUAAAGGGAGUGUAGGCGGUUUGGAAAGUCUUCUGUGAAAUCUACGGGCUCAGCCUGUAACGUGCAGAGGAAACUAUCAGACUAGAGUGUCGGAGAGGAUAGGGGAAUACCCGGUGUAGAGGUGAAAUUCGUAGAGAUCGGGUGGAACACCAGUGGCGAAGGCGCCUGUCUGGCUGACAACUGACGCUGAGACUCGAAAGCAUGGGGAGCAAACAGG